CCUACGGGAGGCAGCAGUGAGGAAUAUUGGUCAAUGGGCGCUAGCCUGAACCAGCCAAGUAGCGUGAAGGAUGACUGCCCUAUGGGUUGUAAACUUCUUUUAUAUGGGAAUAAAGUGCAGUAUGUAUACUGCUUUGCAUGUACCUUAUGAAUAAGGAUCGGCUAACUCCGUUCCAGCAGCCGCGGUAAUACGGAGGAUCCGAGCGUUAUCCGGAUUUAUUGGGUUUAAAGGGAACGUAGGCGGGUUGUUAAGUCAGUUGUGAAAGUUUGCGGCUCAACCGUAAAAUUGCAGUUGAUACUGGCAGCCUUGAGUACAGUAGAGGUAGGCGGAAUUCGUGGUGUAGCGGUGAAAUGCGUAGAUAUCUCGAAGAACUCCGAUUGCGAAGGCAGCCUGCUGGACUAUAACUGACGCUGAUGCGCGAAAGUGUGGGUAUCAAACAGGAUUAGAUACCCCAGUAGUC
rnacentral:rRNA from 1 species